CCUUGUUUGCGUUUGUGGAGUGACUGAGCGACUGAGCGACUGAGCUUUCCCUUUAGGCCUCCCCAGAGACGGCUGCAGCUUAGCUUUGACUUCCCGGGGGGGAACGGAGGACUUUGGUGCAUGCCGCAAGAGGGGUGUUCCCUGCUAGUCCCGCGAGCGCAGCGAGUGUCCUGUCUUCCUCCUUUUUACUUAGUCCAGAUCAGAGCCACGCGGUAGUUGUGUGGCCGAGGCCGCCCUGUAGCCAGGGCUUGGGCCUGUCCUUGCGUGGCCGCCUGUUCUGCUGGCGGCGUGGCAGCCCUGUAGUCGGGGUGUGUGUCCCAAGCUUAGGAGCCCUCUGUCCCUUGAGCAGCCCGCCCGCCCGCCCUGUACUCAGGUGUGGGGAGGCUGCAGCGUUGCAGCCGGCUGCUUUAGCCAUCCAGCUGGUGGGAAUGACCCCUCCCUGUCCCGUCAGAGGGUGCAGGUUGAGGUGCUGCUUGCGUGUGGGGUGACCUCCCCGCUCGGUGGGUCGAGGCUGCUCCCUGGGUUCCCCAAGAGAAGACGUUGGUGAUGUUCUGCUGCUGCCGGGCGGGCCCGCCUGUAGCUCAGGCGUUGGCGGGAGCCUCGUGCUCCGCGGGGCUUCUUGGAGAGGGUGAGGUGCGGGGGUACGGUCCUGUAGGCAGGGCUGUGUGUGCCCCCCGUGUGUGCUUGCUGAGCUGUGUUCCGAGAGACCCCCCCCCCCCCCCCCCCGGACUCGGGUGGGAAUGUGGCCCCGGCCUUUCAGAGGCACGGGGCUGCGAGGUGUGGGCUUGGGCUUGCGCCCUCCCUGGAAGUUGAGGCUGGGAUCCCGACUGCGGCCUUUGGCCGUGCCGCCCCGCUGCCUGGCUGCUGAGAGUUGUUCCUGCCGCUGGGGGGGAAACCGAGCUCUGUGGCUCCAGGGGUGUCGUCCACCCGCCUGUAAUCAGGGUCUGGGUGCGCGAGCGUUUGUGCUCUGCUGGCAGCCUGUGUGGGGUGACCGCCCCGUUAGCGGGGUGUGGGUCGAGGUGCCCCGGACUGGGAGAGAAGGAGCCUCUCCCGGCCGUAGGGAUGGGGGCUGCCCUGUAAGUCAGGGAGCAACCGUGCCCCGGAGUCCCAGGCCCUUUGCGUUGGAGGCAGUGGCUGGGGGCCCCCUGUAAGCAGGGAAGCUGGCUCUUUGGCCGCUGCUUUUUGUACGCCCAGCCCCAUUUGCCCAGCCUGCCCGCCUCUGUGAUCCCCCGCAGCACCGGCUGGAAGUCCGCCGCGCGUCAGUGAGGAGCUGCUGCAGAAGAAAGAAGAAGCAGCAGCGUGGGGACCUGGGCUUCAAAUCAAACCUCAGUUAUGAGUGACAGUAGAAGAAAAAAAACCGCUCGCAGCACAAGCGAAAGAAGUUCUAGUGGAAAUGCUGAGUCACGGCUUGAGAUUUUCC
rnacentral:lncRNA from 1 species